rnacentral:rRNA from 1 species
CCUUUGGGUGUGAGUAGAGUGGCGGACGGGUGAGUAAUACUUGGGAAUCUGCCUAGUAGUGGGGGAUAACUCGGGGAAACUCGAGCUAAUACCGCAUACGCCCUACGGGGGAAAGAUUUAUCGCUAUUAGAUGAGCCCAAGUCAGAUUAGCUAGUUGGUAGGGUAAUGGCCUACCAAGGCGACGAUCUGUAGUUGGUCUGAGAGGACGAACAGCCACACUGGGACUGAGACACGGCCCAG